rnacentral:lncRNA from 1 species
UUCCCCGCCAAAAUCCACUCCCACACUCACAAGAAGCCCAGAAAGAAGCAGUGCUGAAGACAUAAGAAAGCCAUGCGAGGUAGAGGAGCAGGAGAAGAGAUAUACACCCACAGCAUAUAAGGGAAAACCAAAAUAGUCAAGCCAAGCUAACUAGCCAGUAGCCACAGCAGCUACACUACACUAGCAUACUGCACUGCGCUUG